UACGUAGGGGGCAAGCGUUGUCCGGAUUUAUUGGGCGUAAAGGGCGCGUAGGCGGUCAGCACAAGUCAGUUGUGAAAUCUCCGGGCUUAACCCGGAAAGGUCAACUGAUACUGUGCGACUAGAGUGCGGAAGGGGCAACUGGAAUUCUCGGUGUAGCGGUGAAAUGCGUAGAUAUCGAGAGGAACACCUGCGGCGAAGGCGGGUUGCUGGGCCGACACUGACGCUGAUGCGCGAAAGCCAGGGGAGCGAACGGG
rnacentral:rRNA from 1 species